GGCGACAUGGCCGAGUGGUUAGGCAGAGGUCUGCAAAACCUCCUACGGCGGUUCGAAUCCGCCUGUCGCCU
rnacentral:tRNA from 3 species